rnacentral:rRNA from 1 species
CCUACGGGCGGCAGCAGUGGGGAAUAUUGGGCAAUGGACGCAAGUCUGACCCAGCAACGCCGCGUGAAGGAAGAAGGCUUUCGGAUUGUAAACCUCUUUAGGCGGGGAGCAAUGCCGGGCACGCGUGCCCGGAGGGAGAGUACCCGCAGAAUAAGCAUCGGCUAACUCCGUGCCAGCAGCCGCGGUAAUACGGAGGAUGCGAGCGUUAUCCGGAUGUAUUGGGUUUAAAGGGUGCGUAGGCGGAUUUUUAAGUCAGCGGUAAAAUGUCCGGGCUCAACCCGGGCCGGCCGUUGAAACUGGGGAUCUUGAGUGGGCGAGAAGUAUGCGGAAUGCGUGGUGUAGCGGUGAAAUGCAUAGAUAUCACGCAGAACUCCGAUUGCGAAGGCAGCAUACCGGCGCCCGACUGACGCUGAGGCACGAAAGCGUGGGGAUCGAACAGGAUUAGAUACCCUGAGUC